rnacentral:rRNA from 1 species
GGGAGGCAGCAGUGGGGAAUUUUGGACAAUGGGCGCAAGCCUGAUCCAGCCAUGCCGCGUGAGUGAAGAAGGCCUUCGGGGUUGUAAAGCUCUUUCGGCCGGGAAGAAAAUCGCAUGGGUUAAUACCCUGUGUGGAUGACGGUACCGGAAUAAGAAGCAACCCGGCUAACUACGUGCCAGCAGCCGCGGUAAUACGUAGGGUGCGGAGCGUUAAUCGGAAUUACUGGGCGUAAAGCGUGCGCAGGCGGUUUUGUAAGACAGGCGUGAAAUCCCCGGGCUCAACCUGGGAACUGCGCUUGUGACUGCAAGGCUAGAGUACGGCAGAGGGGGGGUGGAAUUCCACGUGUAGCAGUGAAAUGCGUAGAGAUGUGGAGGAACACCAAUGGCGAAGGCAGCCCCCUGGGUCGAUACUGACGCUCAUGCACGAAAGCGUGGGUAGCAAACAGGAUUAGAUACCCUGGUAGUCCACGCCCUAAACGAUGUCAACUAGGUGUUGGGAGGGUAAAACCUUUUAGUACCGGAGCUAACGCGUGAAGUUGACCGCCUGGGGAGUACGGCCGCAAGGUUAAAACUCAAAGGAAUUGACGGGGACCCGCACAAGCGGUGGAUGAUGUGGAUUAAUUCGAUGCAACGCGAAAAACCUUACCUACCCUUGACAUGUCAGGAAGUCUGGAGAGAUUGAGAUGUGCCCGAAAGGGAACCUGAACACAGGUGCUGCAUGGCUGUCGUCAGCUCGUGUCGAGAAUGUUGGGUUAAGUUCCCGCAACGAGCCGCAACCCUUGGUCGUUAAUUGCCAUCAUUUAGUUGGGCACUUUACGAGACUGCCCGGUGACAAACCGGAGGAAGGUGGGGAGACGUCAAGUCCUCCAUGGCCCUUAUGGGUAGGGCUUCCACACGUCAUACAAGGGUUGGGUACAAAGGGUCGCCAACCCGCGAGGGGGAGCCAAUCCCAGAAAGCCGACCGUAGUCCGGAUUGCAGGCUGCAACUCGCCUGCAUGAAUGGAAUCGCUAGUAAUCGUGGAUCAGCAGUC